UGAGGAAUUUUGCGCAAUGGACGAAAGUCUGACGCAGCGACGCCGCGUGGGCGAUGAAGCUCUUUGGAGUGUAAAGCCCUGUCAGGUGGGACGAAUCCGUGGUGGGUGAACAACUCAUUGCGCUGACGGUACCACCAGAGGAAGCCCCGGCUAACUCUGUGCCAGCAGCCGCGGUAAUACAGAGGGGGCUAGCGUUGUUCGGAAUUACUGGGUGUAAAGGGUGCGCAGGUGGUUAGUUAAGUCUGAUGUGAAAUCCCUGGGCUCAACUCAGGAACUGCAUUGGAAACUGGCUAGCUUUGAGUACCGGAGAGGGAAGCGGAAUUCCUGGUGUAGCGGUGAAAUGCGUAGAUACCAGGAGGAACACCGGUGGCGAAGGCGGCUUCCUGGCCGAGUACUGACGCUCAUGCACGAAAGCGUGGGGAGCAAACGG
rnacentral:rRNA from 1 species